AUUUUUCCAUCUUAUUCUCAUCGGUUCUUAAGGUAUUUCAUUGCCUUCUAUAAUUUAUGAGAUUCUUAUCAGAAUGCUUCACUCCAUUUCUCUUAAUGUACUUAUGGUACCUUUUAAAAAACAAUCCCAUUUGUUCAUCAUCUGAACACUCACCAUCACUAGUUCCACUAUCAUCUUGCUCUAUAUUAGAGAACUUAAAACUAGAAUCCACUAGAGCAAUUAAUUUCUU
rnacentral:lncRNA from 1 species